AUUGAACGCUGGCGGCAGGCCUAACACAUGCAAGUCGAACGGUAGCACAGAGAGCUUGCUCUCGGGUGACGAGUGGCGGACGGGUGAGUAACGUCUGGGAAACUGCCCGAUGGAGGGGGAUAACUACUGGAAACGGUACCUAAUACCGCAUAACGUCGCAAGACCAAAGUGGGGGACCUUCGGGCCUCACACCAUCGGAUGUGCCCAGACGGGAUUAGCUAGUAGGUGGGGUAAUGGCUCACCUAGGCGACGAUCCCUAGCUGGUCUGAGAGGAUGACCAGCCACACUGGCACUGAGACACGGUCCAGACUCCUACGGGAGGCAGCAGUGGGGAAUAUUGCACAAUGGGCGCAAGCCUGAUGCAGCCAUGCCGCGUGUAUGAAGAAGGCCCUCGGGUUGUAAAGUACUUUCAGCGGGGAGGAAGGCGGUGAAGUUAAUAACUUCACCGAUUGACGUUACCCGCAGAAGAAGCACCGGCUAACUCCGUGCCAGCCGCCGCGGUAA
rnacentral:rRNA from 1 species